GCGCGAAAACUCCGCAAUGCGCGAAAGCGUGACGGGGGAACCCCAAGUGCCGUUGGUCUUUUGAUCGACGGCUUUUCGGAAGUCUAGGAAGCUUCUGGAAUAAGGGCUGGGCAAGUCUGGUGCCAGCCGCCGCGGUAAUACCAGCAGCCCAAGUGGUGGUCACGUUUAUUGGGCCUAAAGCGCUCGUAGCCGGGUCUGUAAGUCCCUUGUGAAAUCGGACGGCUCAACCGUUCGGCUUGCAAGGGAGACUGCUAGCCUUGGAACCGGGAGAGGUCGGGGGUACUUCGGGGGUAGCGGUGAAAUGCUGUAAUCCCUGGGGGACCACCAGUGGCGAAGGCGCCCGGCCAGAACGGAUUCGACGGUGAGGGGCGAAGGCUGGGGGAGCGAACGGGAUUAGAUACCCCGGUAGUCCCAGCUGUAAAGGAUGCGGGCUGGGUGUCAGGUGCCCUUCGAGAGCACCUGGUGCCGUAGGGAAGCCGUUAAGCCCGCCGCCUGGGAAGUACGGUCGCAAGGCUGAAACUUAAAGAAAUUGGCGGGGGAGCACCACAAGGGGGUGGACCGUGUC
rnacentral:rRNA from 1 species